rnacentral:misc_RNA from 1 species
ACGAGUUAUAAACUCCUUAAAACCCACUGUGAACUUACUAUUUUGUUGCCUCGGCAGGCUGUGCUCUUACCCUGUAGCUAUUACCCUGUAGCUACCCUAUAGGACUUACCCUAUAGCUACCCUGUAACAGCUACUUGGAAAGCACGUUAACCGGCCUGCCGGUGGUCUUAAACACUCUUGUUAUUUAUUAUGGUAUUCUGAUUUAACUUGAUAAUAAGUUA